GACGAACGCUGGCGGCGCGCCUAACACAUGCAAGUCGAACGAGAGAUGAAGAGCUUGCUCUUCAGAUCGAGUGGCGAACGGGUGAGUAACGCGUGAGGAACCUGCCUCAAAGAGGGGGACAACAGUUGGAAACGACUGCUAAUACCGCAUAAGCCCACAGCUCGGCAUCGAGCAGAGGGAAAAGGAGCAAUCCGCUUUGAGAUGGCCUCGCGUCCGAUUAGCUAGUUGGUGAGGUAACGGCCCACCAAGGCGACGAUCGGUAGCCGGACUGAGAGGUUGAACGGCCACAUUGGGACUGAGACACGGCCCAGACUCCUACGGGAGGCAGCAGUGGGGAAUAUUGCACAAUGGGGGAAACCCUGAUGCAGCGACGCCGCGUGGAGGAAGAAGGUCUUCGGGAUUGUAAACUCCUGUUGUUGGGGAAGAGUAAUGACGGUACCAACAAGGAAGUGACGGCUAACUACGUG
rnacentral:rRNA from 1 species